rnacentral:tRNA from 1 species
CGCGGGGUAGAGCAGUUUGGUAGCUCGCAAGGCUCAUAACCUUGAGGUCACGGUUCAAAUCCUGUCUCCGCAA